rnacentral:rRNA from 1 species
GUACACGCUGUGACUAGCAUAUCAAUAAGCGGAGGAAAAGAAACUAACUAGGAUUCCCCUAGUAACGGCGAGUGAAGCGGGAAGAGCUCAAAUUUGAAAUCUUAAAGGGUUUCCCUUUACGAAUUGUAGUUUAAAGAAGUGUUUUCUGUUGAGGUUUUGGUAAAAGUUCUUUGGAAUAGGACAUCAUAGAGGGUGAGAAUCCCGUAUUUGACCUUUACUUUCAACUUUGUGAUACACUUUCAAAGAGUCGGAUUGUUUGGGAAUGCAGUCCAAAAUGGGUGGUAAAUUUCAUCUAAAGCUAAAUAUUGGCGAGAGACCGAUAGCGAACAAGUACCGUGAGGGAAAGAUGAAAAGAACUUUGAAAAGAGAGUUAAACAGUACGUGAAAUUGUCAAAAGGGAAGCGUUUGACACCAGUGUUGUUUUUCUGAAGAUCAAUUAAAGAACUGUUUAUGCUAAGUUGUUUAGACUUUAUCAGCUAACUGUUUAGUUUUGAGCUUUUCUUUAAUGCACUUUUCAGUUAACAAGUCAACAUCAAUUUCUUUUGCUGUAAAAAAGCUUGAGGAAGGUGGCUUGAGAUUCGUCUUAAGUGUUUAUAGCCUCUUGCCUAUGCAGUCGGAGAGAUUGAGGUCUGCAGCGUAGAUCCUUCGGGGCUAAAUGCAUUUGUGCUAAGUUAUAGCAUUUUAUAGACAACUUGUUGACUAUGAUUUGUCUUGUAGCUUACUCGCUUAUGUUAUUUUACCUACGCUUAGGAUGUUGAGUCGUAGAGCACGCAG